GGAUAGCUCAGUUGGUAGAGCAUGAGACUCUUAAUACCAGGAUAGUGGGUUCAAACACCAUGUUGGGCA